CACGUAGGGCGCGAGCGUUGUCCGGAUUUAUUGGGCGUAAAGAGCUCGUAGGCGGCUCAUCGCGUCUGCCGUGAAAACCCGCAGCUCAACUGCGGGCUUGCGGUUGAUACGGGUGGGCUGGAGUUCGGUAGGGGAGACUGGAAUUCCUGGUGUAGCGGUGAAAUGCGCAGAUAUCAGGAGGAACACCAGCGGCGAAGGCGGCGUGCUGGACCUUUUCUGACGCUGAGGCGCGAAAGCUAGGGGAGCAAACGGG
rnacentral:rRNA from 1 species